rnacentral:rRNA from 1 species
AAACCCUAAGGCGCAAUGAAAGUGAAGGUCAGGCAUCGCACUGACUGAGGCAGGAUCCGUCCGGGUGAGCGAAGCUCUUCUUCUCUUCGCGGGUUCGUCCCGCGGGGGAGCUCGGCGGCGCACUGCCAGCCCAUCUCGGCCGCUUCCCGUCGGCGAGGUGGAGCUAGAGCGCACACGUUGGGACCCGAAAGAUGGUGAACUAUGCUCGGGCAGGACGAAGCCAGAGGAAACUCUGGUGGAGGUCCGUAGCGAUUCUGACGUGCAAAUCGAUCGUCGGACCCGAGUAUAGGGGCGAAAGACUAAUCGAACCGUCUAGUAGCUG